rnacentral:lncRNA from 1 species
CAAAUCAUUGCAGUUACUGUGUCGAUUGAGUGAAGUGUUUGUGCUUAUCCUCUCCGCUUUAACUGUAUUAAACCCAGUUUCAUUGGGCUUUUUGCUUUACGCAAAAUGUAUUAUAAGUGCUGCAUGUGUAAUGCUACGCGACAGGACGCUAUUUUGUACCAUUUCCCAUCCAAUGAGAAAAGACUCCAAAUGUGGUUAAAGUGUUUACCUUCGGCUCGGGAUGAUUUGAAAGCGCUAACGCAAAAGCAGCUUUCGGUCAGUGGGUCGUCUUAGGGGGCUUUCGAAGUUGUUUGUAUGCUCAAAACACUUUGAAGUGCGGUUUGUCACCCAGAAAUCUCGUCUCGUAGGAUCGGCGUAUCCUACACUUUUCAGUGCAGAGGAGAUAUCAAGAGGAACACCAUCUCAAAAUGAGAAUGUGGACCCACAGACCGAUCAUACUUACUGCCGAAAGAGACACUUUGACCAUACUUAUGCAAAACAGAAACCUUUAGCAGAAUUAUCUUUAAACACAGGAGGAAUGCAACCUGUGGAUGUACCAGGAACAUCUCACAUAUCAGUGGCAUGUGAAGACUUCCCUUCAACCACUGGCACGACCACUUUUUCAGGCUCGCUGAAUACAGUGGUGUUAAAGACCAAGGCAAGGGCACGAAAACGAAUUAUAAAUAAAAUAAAGGAUUUGACACCAACUGGUAAAAUUAUAUAUAAAGAAUACCAGAAAGCCAAAGACGAGGCUAACUUUCUGAAGAGAGCUCGAAGAGCUUUAAAAUUCAGCAAGGACAAGUCCUUUGAAGAAUUAACCAAGGAAAUGAAUCCAUUUGCAAAAACUAUUAUGAAAAUGCAAAUUAAUUUAUACU